AUUCCAUCCCAUUUCCCGGCUGCCUCUGGUUUUUGAAAUCUUAAAUUUCCCACUGGAGGUUUUGCGAAUGGAAUUUUUUUGAACAAAUGAUAAUCUCC
ensembl:ncRNA C01B10.46 ncRNA